rnacentral:rRNA from 1 species
CACUCUAGAGAGACUGCCAGGGAUAACCUGGAGGAAGGUGGGGAUGACGUCAAAUCAUCAUGCCCCUUAUGCUUAGGGCUACACACGUGCUACAAUGGGUAGUACAGAGGGUUGCCAAGCCGUAAGGUGGAGCUAAUCCCUUAAAGCUACUCUCAGUUCGGAUUGUAGGCUGAAACUCGCCUACAUGAAGCUGGAGUUACUAGUAAUCGCAGAUCAGAAUGCUGCGGUGAAUGCGUUCCCGGGUCUUGUACACACCGCCCGUCACACCACGGGAGUUGGAGACGCCCGAAGCCGAUUAUCUAACCUUUUGGAAGAAGUCGUCGAAGGUGGAAUCAAUAACUGGGGUGAAGUCGUAACAAGGUAGCCGUAUCGGAAGGUGCGGCUGGAUCACCUCCU